rnacentral:lncRNA from 1 species
CUCAUUCUGUCUUGCUGCCGCCAUGUAAGAAGUGCGUUUCACCCUCUGCCAUGAUUAUGAAACCUCCCCAGCCAUGUGGAACUGUGGGGUCUCCCUAUGUUGCCCAGGCUGAACUCCAACUCCUGGGCUCAAGCAAUGCUCCCAUCUCAGUCUCCCAAAGUGCUGAGAUUACAGUCUCGCUCUGUUGCCCAGUCUGGAGUACAGGUAUGAUCUUGGCUUACUGCAAGCUCCGCCUCCCAGGUUCAAGCAAUUCUUCUGCCUCAGUCUCCCAAGCAGCUGGGAUUAUAGGUGCUGUGCUGGAACCUAAGGGAUACAGCUAUGAACAAGACAGUCCUGCCUUUAUGGAGCUCACAAUCUGAAGAACAAUCCGGAUAACAGUGACCAACAAAGACGUGCAAAAUGUCAGAGGGCCACAAACUGCAGAGGCUUCCCGCUACCUGCCCCAGCCACUCCCGCCUCCUGGCUUGGUUUUCCAG